rnacentral:rRNA from 1 species
UACGUGAGGGGCGAACGUUGUUCGGUGUCACUGGGCUUAAAGGGCGCGUAGGCGGCCCGUCAAGUCCCGUGUGAAAGCCCCCGGCUCAACCGGGGAACGGCGCGGGAAACUAGCAGGCUUGAGUUCGGGAGAGGGAAGCGGAAUUCCGGGUGUAGCGGUGAAAUGCGCAGAUAUCCGGAGGAACACCGGUGGCGAAGGCGGCUUCCUGGACCGACACUGACGCUGAGGCGCGAAAGCUAGGGGAGCAAACGGG